GAGGAGCUUGCUCUUCUUGGAUGAGUUGCGAACGGGUGAGUAACGCGUAGGUAACCUGCCUGGUAGCGGGGGAUAACUAUUGGAAACGAUAGCUAAUACCGCAUAAAAUUGAUUAUUGCAUGAUAGUCAAUUGAAAGGUGCAACUGCACCACUACCAGAUGGACCUGCGUUGUAUUAGCUAGUUGGUGGGGUAACGGCUCACCAAGGCGACGAUACAUAGCCGACCUGAGAGGGUGAUCGGCCACACUGGGACUGAGACACGGCCCAGACUCCUACGGGAGGCAGCAGUAGGGAAUCUUCGGCAAUGGACGGAAGUCUGACCGAGCAACGCCGCGUGAGUGAAGAAGGUUUUCGGAUCGUAAAGCUCUGUUGUAAGAGAAGAACGAGUGUGAGAGUGGAAAGUUCACACUGUGA
rnacentral:rRNA from 1 species